AAGGAAUGAUAGGCCAAUAUCACAUAUAUACUAAAACCAAAGCAAGAGGACUGUCCCUCUGUCAGAUGUGAAACAAAAAGAUUUUUUUUCCAUCAUAAGAAAAGCCAUAAUUUCUUAUUUGCAUUUAAAGUUUCACAUUAUUUCACAAAGAAUUCAUUACGCCAAGAUAACAACAGUUUCAAAGCAAUCAAAGAACUCAUACAAUAAGAAAGCUAAAAUUAAGAAAUGAAUCAAAAUGUGAUAAUAGUUCAAACAAAGCAUGUGAAACGACUGAACUAAACCAGAGGGCCUCAUAUUUUAAACCAAACAAAGACUACAACAAUGAGACAACA
rnacentral:lncRNA from 1 species